GCCUGGGUGGCUCAGUCAGUUGAGCGUCUGACUUUGGGUCAGGUCAUGAUCUCACGGUCCGUGAGUUCGAGCCCCGCAUCAGGCU
rnacentral:tRNA from 1 species